rnacentral:piRNA from 1 species
UGUGAAUCUUGCUGUGCGUACUUANAACC